rnacentral:rRNA from 1 species
UCGCUACGAGGGAGUGGACCAUUUACUGAAGGAGUGUUGUUGGUUUUACCGAUAUCACUUCGGAAAUUAGCCUAAAGUUGAUGGUCUCGACCACGUAA